rnacentral:rRNA from 1 species
UAUUGGUCAAUGGGAGAGAUCCUGAACCAGCCAAGCAGCGUGAGGGAAGACGGCCCUAUGGGUUGUAAACCUCUUUUGUCGGAGAACAAAACCCGGGACGUGUCCCGGACUGCGUGUAUCCGAAGAAAAAGCAUCGGCUAACCCCGGGCCAGCAGCCGCGGUAAUACGGAGGAUGCGCGCGUUAUCCGGAUUUAUUGGGUGUAAAGGGUGCGUAGGCGGUCCGUUAAGUCAGCGGUAAAAUUGCGGGGCUCAACCCCGUCGAGCCGUUGAAACUGGCAGACUUGAGUUGGCGAGAAGUACGCGGAAUGCGCGGUGUAGCGGUGAAAUGCAUAGAUAUCGCGCAGAACUCCGAUUGCGAAGGCAGCGUACCGGCGCCAGACUGACGCUGAGGCACGAAAGCGUGGGGAUCGAACAGG